CACAUUCAGCGUUUUUUCCGCCGGACGUAUGUUGCUAUCAUUCAUGUGUUCUGAUCAGCUACUAUCAGAUAAUUGAGCUUGGAGAAUGCAGAUUUUCCUGGCUGGUAAGAAAAUGAUAUCACUCUAGAAUUUAGAUAAUUGUUUGAUGGACAUCUAUUCUUAAUUAUUUAUAUUAGGAUUCGUCACGUGGGUGAGUAAGUAAAUGAUGUCAAAAUUGUGAAAUUUUAUUAAUAUUUAAUUGAUAAAUUAUUGAAAAUUAAUAUUUAAAUGAUGUUCGGGAAGAGGGAUGAAAAUAUUAUAGGAGAUGUGUUUUUAUAUUGUAAGAGUUUAUUAAUUUAGUGCAAAGAAUUGAAAGGACAAUCAGAAAAAGAAGAAAAGUUUUAAGAUAUGAAGGGCUUCUUUCACAAAUAAGCAGGUCUAAAAAGUAUAUUUGUUAAAAUUUGGAUUGCAAGUUUGCAACUGUUAGCAACAUUUUACAACUACAAAUAUAAUUUUAAACAAAACUUUUGAAUUUUUUUUAAUUAAGAUGAGUACCCGGCAUGUACUUUUGCACGUAUAAUGUAGUCAACGAACAAAUGUAUGAUCUUAAUUUCAGGACUCAGAUGAGGGAGUGAAGCUAUGCUGGGAAAUUGAUGUGGAUGGAUAUGUUGUGAUAUCUGAUGAUUCGGAGAAUUAGAGAUGAUAAGAGCAAAAUGUGCAAAGUCAUUUGCACCUUUACUAGCGGGUGUAUGUUUCACGAUAGGGACGAUCAGAUCAAUGAAUCUUUAGCACCAGGAAAUAAGAUGAGAGAAAUGUAAAGGGCAGAUAGUGAAGAGCAGUGCCGGUCCUGGCGAUCCAGGGGCUCAAAAUUUUCUUA
rnacentral:lncRNA from 1 species